UACGGAGGGUGCAAGCGUUAUCCGGAAUUAUUGGGCGUAAAGCGUCCGUAGGUGGCUUUCCAAGUCAGCUGUUAAAGCGUGGAGCUUAACUCCAUAAAGGCAGUUGAAACUGUGAGGCUAGAGUGCGGUAGGGGUAAGGGGAAUUCCUAGUGUAGCGGUGAAAUGCGUAGAUAUUAGGAAGAACACCUGUGGCGAAAGCGACGUGCUGGACCUGCACUGACACUGAGGGACGAAAGCUAGGGGAGCGAAAGGG
rnacentral:rRNA from 1 species